GUAGGUGAACCUGCGGAGGGAUCAUUAACACGUUUUACACGUAACAAACAAACUGUGAACUUAUAGUAGCAUUAGAUAGAGCUUGCUCUAUCUAUUGUUAUCUCUACCUAAGUGAAUUAGAUUGUUAACCUAAACUACUGUGAUUGGUUAUUUAGUUUCGGCUAGAUAGCAGUUAAGGUUAGCUCGAGUUCAAUCUCAAAAAUCUAUUUAUUUAGGCUUUUAUCUUAUAGCUCUAUCACACUAGACAAAC
rnacentral:misc_RNA from 1 species